AGCGAACGCUGGCGGCAGGCUUAACACAUGCAAGUCGAACGGAACCUCCGGGCUUUGUGGCGGAGGGGUGAGUAACACGUGGGAACGUGCCCUUGGGUUCGGAACAACUCAGGGAAACUUGAGCUAAUACCGGUUGUGCCCUUCGGGGGAACGAUUUAUCGCCAUUGGAGCGGCCCGCGUCUGAUUAGCUAGUUGGUGAGGUAACGGCCCACCAAGGCGACGAUCAGUAGCUGGUCUGAGAGGAUGAUCAGCCACACUGGGACUGAGACACGGCCCAGACUCCUACGGGAGGCAGCAGUGGGGAAUCUUGCGCAAUGGGCGAAAGCCUGACGCAGCCAUGCCGCGUGAAUGAUGAAGGUCUUAGGAUUGUAAAAUUCUUUCAGCGGGGACGAUAAUGACGGUACCCGCAGAAGAAGCUCCGGCUAACUUCGUG
rnacentral:rRNA from 1 species